CCGCUUACUCUGCCGCAAGCGGGGUCGAGUAGUGCUCCUGUUC
rnacentral:sRNA from 1 species